rnacentral:rRNA from 1 species
GACGAACGCUGGCGGCGUGCUUAACACAUGCAAGUCGAGCGGUAAGGCCCCUUCGGGGGUACACGAGCGGCGAACGGGUGAGUAACACGUGGGUGACCUGCCCUCAGCUCUGGGAUAAGCCUGGGAAACUGGGUCUAAUACCGGAUAUGACUCCAUGACGCAUGUCGUGGGGUGGAAAGCCUUGUGCGGCUGGGGAUGGGCCCGCGGCCUAUCAGCUUGUUGGUGGGGUGAUGGCCUACCAAGGCGACGACGGGUAGCCGGCCUGAGAGGACGACCAGCCACACUGGAACUGAGAUACGGUCCAGACUCCUACGGGAGGCAGCAGUGGGGAAUAUUGCACAAUGGGCGAAAGCCUGAUGCAGCGACGCCGCGUGAGGGAUGAAGGCC